UACAGAGGGGGCAAGCGUUAUUCGGAAUUAUUGGGCGUAAAGGGCGCGUAGGCGGCUUGGCAAGUGGAAGGUGAAAUCCCUCGGCUUAACCGAGGAACUGCCCUCCAAACUGCUUGGCUUGAGACCGGGAGAGGUGAGUGGAAUUCCCAGUGUAGCGGUGAAAUGCGUAGAUAUUGGGAGGAACACCAGUGGCGAAGGCGGCUCACUGGACCGGUACUGACGCUGAGGCGCGAAAGCGUGGGGAGCAAACGGGG
rnacentral:rRNA from 1 species